rnacentral:rRNA from 1 species
CCUACGGGAGGCUGCAGUGAGGAAUAUUGGUCAAUGGGCGGGAGCCUGAACCAGCCAAGUCGCGUGAGGGAAGACGGUCCUAUGGAUUGUAAACCUCUUUAGGCGGGGAGCAAUGCCGGGCACGUGUGCGCGGAGGGAGAGUACCCGCAGAAAAAGCAUCGGCUAACUCCGUGCCAGCAGCCGCGGUAAUACGGAGGAUGCGAGCGUUAUCCGGAUUUAUUGGGUUUAAAGGGUGCGUAGGCGGAUUCUUAAGUCAGCGGUAAAAUGUCCGUGCUCAACGCGGGACGACCGUUGAAACUGGGGUUCUUGAGUGGGCGAGAAGUAUGCGGAAUGCGUGGUGUAGCGGUGAAAUGCAUAGAUAUCACGCAGAACUCCGAUUGCGAAGGCAGCAUACCGGCGCCCGACUGACGCUGAGGCACGAAAGCGUGGGGAUCGAACAGGAUUAGAUACCCUAGUAGUC